UGCCACAGCCAUAUCACCCUGCAGCCCAAGACUGGUUGCCCACUGAAGCUAAGCAGGGUUGAGCCUGGUCAGUACCUGGACGGGAGACCUCCUGGGAAAACUAGGUUGCUGUUGGAA
rnacentral:rRNA from 1 species